GAAACGGUGCAGUAUCCUAGUCAGAACGACCGGCUCCCAGGUAGGGCCUAAAAAUCCUAUGAAGGGCAUAUCGAUGAAGUCCCUGGUGUCUGCUUUUUACGCCCAGUUUAGGGUGGAUGCUGGGGGUUAAGGAUCCCGGGCGCACUCCAACGGCAUGGAGUAUACGACCCGGUUUCCGUGGAGACCCUGUGUUGUGCGACGGCGGAACCGCUCUUAGCAGAGCCCGUCCGCGUACGAGCUGGGUAUGAACCUGCAAUGCGGUGCAGUUUGUGCGCUGUGUGCAGCGUAGCCUGCCUUGAGUGGGUAUGUUGGGGAAAGGGGAACACGCGGCUGUUGGUUAUGGCCAUAACCGAUGCCGAUAUUGCUCCUGGAAACCAUGCUUGCAAAAGAGGCUAAGAGUCGAUUCGUUUUGCCGUGGAAAACACCUAGGCUGUCGUAACUGGGCAGGCAGGGGAUUACAGUACGGACUAAGUGGCAAUCGGGUAUUCAUGUUGGCAACAUUUGAACGGACGAAUGAAAUGGAAACAGCCUGUUCGGCAACGACAGGUUUUGUCCGGGGAAAUCCGACCCGACCUAAGCCGUAAGAUUUAUCCUGCCUGCUGCCGUUUUUUCAAAUUAU
rnacentral:sRNA from 1 species